rnacentral:tRNA from 1 species
AGCUUAGAUGGUAAAGCGCUUGUUUAGCAAACAAGAGUGCUGGGUUCAACUCCCAG